CAACGACUCUCGGCAACGGAUAUCUCGGCUCUCGCAUCGAUGAAGAACGUAGCGAAAUGCGAUACUUGGUGUGAAUUGCAGAAUCCCGUGAACCAUCGAGUCUUUGAACGCAAGUUGCGCCCGAAGCCGUCUGGCCGAGGGCACGUCUGCCUGGGCGUCACGC
rnacentral:rRNA from 1 species